ACUCUGCAGCUGGGAGAGGAGCCCCAGCACCAGGAUUCCCAGGUGUUCCGAUCAGUACUCAGGACAGGACACAGACAACUCACGAUGAAGUUUGUGCUUGGCUGGGUUUUCCUUGUUGCUCUUUUAAAAGGUGUCCAGUGUGAGGUGCAGCUGGUGGAGUCUGGGGGAGACCUGGUGAAGCCUGGGGGGUCCCUGAGACUCUCCUGUGCAGCCUCUGGAUUCACCUUCAGUAACUACGGCAUGAGCUGGGUCCGCCAGGCUCCAGGGAAGGGGCUGCAGUGGGUCGCAUACGUUAGCAGUAGUAGUAGUUACACAUACUAUGCAGACUCUGUGAAGGGCCGAUUCACCAUCUCCAGAGACAACGGCAAGAACACGCUGUAUCUGCAGAUGAGCAGCCUGAGAGCCGAGGACACGGCUGUGUAUUACUGUGCAAGAGUGUAUUGUGAUAGUUACGGCUGCUACUCCCACAGCGUCACGGACCCCACCGAAAACCCCGCCCCGGGGUCCCAGCCCCGGCCCUGCCCCGGGGGCCACAGGCAGGAGGCCCCAGGGACGGAGGAUUCGGGCUGGGUCUGUGUCACGGUGGUGUAUUGUGAUAGUUACGGCUGCUACUCCCACAGCGUCACGGACCCCACCGAAAACCCCGCCCCGGGGUCCCAGCCCCGGCCCUGCCCCGGGCCCAGCACGGACACCAGCCGAGGACACCGAACGAGGACACAUCGCUGAUCCGGCCGGACCGUCCUGCCGGUGCCGG